CAGGACGAACGCUGGCGGCGUGCCUAACACAUGCAAGUCGAGCGAGGAGAUCCUUCGGGAUGAUCCUAGCGGCGGACGGGUGAGUAACACGUGGGCAACCUGCCUCAUAGAGAGGAAUAGCCUUCCGAAAGGGAGAUUAAUACCUCAUAACAUUGCAGUUUCGCAUGGAACAGCAAUUAAAGGAGCAAUCCGCUAUGAGAUGGGCCCGCGGCGCAUUAGCUAGUUGGUGAGGUAACGGCUCACCAAGGCGACGAUGCGUAGCCGACCUGAGAGGGUGAUCGGCCACAUUGGGACUGAGACACGGCCCAGACUCCUACGGGAGGCAGCAGUGGGGAAUAUUGCACAAUGGGGGAAACCCUGAUGCAGCAACGCCGCGUGAGUGAUGACGGCCUUCGGGUUGUAAAGCUCUGUCUUCAGGGACGAUAAUGACGGUACCUGAGGAGGAAGCCACGGCUAACUACGUGCCAGCCGCGGC
rnacentral:rRNA from 1 species